UUUCCUUUCAGGUUUCUGGCCGGUCCCUGUCUGCGUCUGACGGUUUUGACGCCGAUUUUUUUCUAACUCGGCCAUUAAGGAGGCCAGGAAGGGGACGUCUGGAUGCAGGACACACAGGACGGCCAUGUGAGGAUGAAGCCAGAGGCCCCAUGGGGUACACAACACGCCCAAGACCCGGCCCAAGGUUUCCAGCAGCCACAGGUGGGAGAGAGGGUGGUCAGCCUGGGCCUCGAGGGCACUCGGCCACUUGACCUCAGACACAGGUCUGCAGUGGCUUCUGCCUCCCUCGGUGGCCGGUGCUGUGCUGCUUCCCCCCCACGUGGAGGGUGUGGAAACCGCCGUGGAAGGAGAGCCCGCAGGGUGCCCGCUCCGCUGCCGGCUGUUCUGUGAGAAGGAGCUCGGGGCGCCUCCCGCCUCGGUCCGGAGGAGCCGCGGGCAGCCUGUGUUGACCGCCACCUGGUCGGGGAGGAGGACAGCCCCCUGGUGGGGCACGGCUGUCCCCCACAACGCUUUUUCCUCCAGAUUAAUCCAGGGGGACUCCUGGUUCCCCAUCCUCACACCUCUGAAAUAGCAGGGCUCCGGCGACACGUGGAGCUGGGACUCGACUUGAGGACAGUUCGUUUCCAACCUCGAACACGUGGAGGACUGCCUCAGACAGGGCAGUGGCUGGCUGGGGAUCUCAGCGGCGUUUCCAGAGCUGGGGUCUUGCCAUCAUCCUCUGGCCGUGGCCCGGGACCCUGCCUCUGUGACUGAGAUUCUUGAAAACCUGGACAUUGCUUUUUAAAAAACCCCAUAGAACAAUCUGAUGUUUAAAAGGAACCAAUAAAAAGAGCCCACCGUG